rnacentral:rRNA from 1 species
UACAGAGGGGGCAAGCGUUGUUCGGAAUUACUGGGCGUAAAGGGCGCGUAGGCGGCCUGUUAAGUCGAACGUGAAAUCCCCGGGCUCAACCCGGGAACUGCGUCCGAUACUGGCAGGCUUGAAUCCGGGAGAGGGAUGCGGAAUUCCAGGUGUAGCGGUGAAAUGCGUAGAUAUCUGGAGGAACGCCGGUGGCGAAGGCGGCAUCCUGGACCGGCAUUGACGCUGAGGCGCGAAAGCCAGGGGAGCAAACGGG